UUGCUGCAGCAGCUGCGGUUCUGCUGUGUCAUGCAAGAAGGAGGGCGGCGGGAGCUGGAGGGGGAGGAGGGGAGGAACCUGAUCUCUCCGGUAGCGAAGGGCUGGAGGCAAACACCGAGCUCCCCCAGAGCCGCCCGGGAGCAGGGAGGGCUCCGCUACCCCGGGGGGCCCUCCCCGCGGGGCAGAUGGGAAGUCUAGAACUCAGAAAGGGGAUCUGUGCUAGAACCAUCAGAAUGUGAUGGUUUAUGGAAGCAGAUGAAACCCACAACAGAAAAGUAUGGCAUAAGACCAGAGGACCUUAUGAAAAUGCCCACACUCAAAAGGCGAGGAAACAAACCUACAGAGGAAGAACAUCCAGAGCGGUAGCAAAACCAGAACAAGUAAAGCCAAGAGAAGCCAAGGGAGGAAUUGUCAACAGUAUUAAAUGCUAGAGAAAGGUCAAGAAAAAUGAGGACUGACAGUCCUCGGACCUAGCAACAAGGAGGGCAAUUGUUGUGUUUGGCAAGAAGUAGUUUUCUGGGGUGGUAACCAGACUGCAGUGGAUUGAGGAGUAGAGGAAGUUCUUUUGGAUAAGAAGGUCUAAAGGGCAACUGGGCGGGGGAGGAUAAAGGUAUUGGGAAGAGAAUAAAAUCAUGGUCUGUUAAGGCUGCGUAGGGGAAGAAGGAAAUAAUACAGUAACACGAAAUUUUUUUAUUCUUUGAAGCCUUCUCUUUCAAAUUAAAUGGCGUGACCAUUCAUCCAAUGCUCAAGUCAAAAACAAAUGAACAUGCAGACAUUCAUGAUGCGUCUCCUACCCUCAGUCCUCACAUCCAGUCUAUCAGGAAUUCAGGUCAACCCUACCUCCAAAACAUUUUCACAAUCUGUUUCUUUCUAUCUGUACCGCUACCGCCCUAACACAAGCACCAUCUUCUGGGCUUCUGUAAAUAGCUUUCUAAUUGGUUUUCCUGCUUCCACUCUUGCUCCUGUUCUCCACAGCACAGCCAGAGUGACAGGAAGCAUAAAACAUAAAUCAGAUCUUACUGCUUCUCUUCUUGCAACCCUUCCACGUCUCCUGAUUGCACUUGGAAUAACUCCUUUGCUGGCCUACAGAGCCCUGGGUGGCAACCCAGACCACCUUUUCAAUCUCGCCUCCCACCUCUCUCCCUCGAGUCUAAUCACUCUGGCCUUUUUUCUAUUCCUUAAACACAUUGGAUUUGCUCUUGUUUUAAAGGGCUCAUCCCAGAUAUUUCCUCUUCCUGGAAUACUCUUUUCUUCAUUCUAAUCUCUGUUUAAAUGUCACCUCCUCAAAGAGGCCUUUGCUGACUGCCCUUCUCUGUCCACCUUCCCAACCAUCCUAUGUAGAACUUAACUACUAUUUGUUUUUAUUGUUUAUGGUUGAGAACCCCUCUAAAGUUUAAACCCUAUGAGGAUUCCUGGCACAUAGUAGGUACUUAAAAAUGUUCACUGGGUGUUUAUAGAAGGAAAAAGAGAGGACAGAUUAUUAGAAUUACAGGCAUCAAGGAUCAAAGCCUGGUGUGGUUGAGCAAUUGCUGGGGAUGAUGGAUUAUUAGGCUUUUAAGAUUCCAGAAGUAGAGGAGUUACUAGCUGUGUGACGUUGGGCAUUCAUAUUUCCGAGGUUCACUUUGUGAAUAUAGGUUAUCAGUAAAAUUAAAUUAAAUAGUAUAGUUAUAGGUAUAAGGCAGCCUUGCCAAGCUAUUAGCAGGAAGUCAGGAACUUCUGUGAAUCAAUUUAUAACCUCUACAGACAAUCUCUUCAUGUAGGCUUUCCUGUAAUGGAGUUAACAUUUGAUUAUUAUUAGGGAAAAAUGGCCAAAUUGUGACUUUUAAAAAAUACUAGAGUUCCUGAAAGACCCUGGGUAUUAGAUUAUUUAAGAAGAAAUCAGAGCACUCCUACAAAUCAAUAAGAAAAGAAUUGAAAACACUAGGAAACUGGGCAAAGUGUUUGACAGUUUGCAGUUAAGGAAAUGAAAAUGGACCUUUAAAAUAUGUAAAAAUGCUCAUACUUUCUCAUAACAAGAGAUACACAAAUUACAAUGCAAUGAGAUGUAGUUUUUACAUAUUA